CUCAGGCGGCCCGUUCUCCGCCCGUGAUUGUGCCGGGUCCCCAAUCCCAUUCGCCCAUGCCGCGGCCACGCCGCCCUGGGGGGCUAUGGAUCAUAUUGGAGCCACCGCCUCUAGUCUCUCGGCGGCCGUCAGGACGCGAUUGGUCCGCGGAGAGCAGAGAGGCGGAAAACCCGGGCUGGAUUUCUGGUGGCUUUUGUUCCCGCAAAUUUACGUGGAGCAUUGUUUUUGGGCGAAAACGGGGCCUUCGGCCUUCCUGCUUUAUUCCUGAGCGGUGUAAGAGGGAGGUAGUGGGUAUCUUCGAGAAACGGCCGCCGCGGGGUCCGGAGCCCCGGGUUCCAAUCCCGGGUCGGCCACUGCUAAGCUGUGUGACCUUGGGAUAUGAUCCAAGGUGCUGAAAACUUCCUAACAAAACUCUUCAGCCGAAUCUGGCACGCCUAUGGUUCCAGCUACUGGGUAGACUGAGGCAGGAGGAUCGCUUGAGGCCAAGAGUUCAAGGCCAACCUGGGCAACAUGGUGAGACCCCCCCCUCCCCCCCAGUCUCUCCAAAACAAACAAACCCCACAUUCUCCAGUCUUAGGUCUUCAAGGAUGAACAGACAUUGCAGAAAGGCACGGUUGGGAACAGAAAAAAAUGAUCUCCACUCCCCCAGCCCCCUCCACACCUUGGGCACAUUUCCCUGGAGCCGCCCGAGUGUUCUUUGUCAGUGUAGGAAGAAGCAAAAAUCUAAAUGGAGUCAGGAUGGCCUCCCACAUGGGCACAAGGACAAGGCUGGGGACAGUUGGGUCUCCUCAUCUUAUUUCCCAGGUCUAGGCUGAUUUCUAUUAAUAAUUAAAUUAAUCGUUGUUCUCCUGGACCUCACUUCUUAAUGUGAUUCCAGGAAACUGGCCACAUUCCAAAAUUCAUAAUCUAAGGUAGUGAAAUAACGUGAGCAUCAAGACAGUUUGGCUGGGCUCAGAGGCUCACAUCUGUAAUCCCAGUACUUUGGGAGGCCGAGGGUAGAUCCCUUGAGCCCAGGAGUUCGAGACCAGCCUGGGCAACAUGGCGAAAUCCCAUCUCUACAAAAAAUACAAAAAUUAGCCAGAUGUGGUGGCAUGUGCCUGUAGUCCCAGUUACUUGGGAGACUGCGGUGGAAGGAUUGCCUGAGCCCAGGAAAGGGAGGUUGCGGUGAAUGGGGAUCCCACCACUGCACUCCAGCCUGGGUGACAGCGUAAGACUCUGUCUCAAAAACAAAAGAUUCAUUUCUUAUUGAUAAAGCAAGCUCCUUGGAGAAAGAUCUUGGAACCUCAUUGGGAGUGGAGGUGGGGCUUCUUCAAUCCAGCCGAGCUGGCUGUGAAACCCCCAGGGUUUGGUACCAAGUGAGCUCCAGUCCCAGCUGUGGCUGACUGUGUGAACUUGGCUAUGCAUUCAAGGGCCUCUGAGCCUCAGUUUCCUCAUCUGUAGAAGAGAGCCAGGAACCCGUCAUCCUGGCUAGCAGUGGAAGUCAAAGGUGCUCAUGGAAAGAAUGUCCUUGCUGGCUGGAACAAGGGAGGCCUGAGCUGUGGAAGUCCUUGGAUCAAGGUCCUCCCCACUUCCCGCUGCCUUUUUGGUCCUUCUUGCGUGCUCUUUGUGAUUUAAUGGCUUAGUAGGUUGAAUCAUGUCCCCCCAAAGUUUAUCUCUACCCCAAAUCUCAGAAUGUGACCUUAUUUGGAAAAAGAGUCUUUGCAGAUAAUUAAGGUAAGAGUCAAGAUAAAAUCACACUGAAUUAUGGUGAGCCCUACAUGCAAUGAGACAGUCCUUACAAGAUACAGAAAAGAACACAUAGAGACUUCGGGGGAAAGGAGACUAUGUGCAAGGAUGGCAGAGAUUGGAGCCGAGGGGUGCCUGGGCCUACCAGAGGCUGCAAGAGACAGGGAGGACCCUCCCCUAGAGCCUCCAGGGGGAACAGCCCUGCCCACACCUUGACUUUGGACUCCUGGCCUCCAGAACUGUGAGAGGGGCAGCCAGGGAAACCGAAACAAUGUCAUUUCCCCCCAGAAGUCGGCGUGGCUCAGCUCAGUCCAGUUCACAACAAAUAUGAAAUCCCUGCCCUACAGGACCAGGCCUCAGGAAGGGCUUGGGGGCCUCAGAGGCAAAUGAGACCAGGUCCAUCAACCAUACAGAACUGACAACCUGGACUCCCCACUCUGAAGUAGGCAGACUGCCUGAGGGAGGGGGCCUCCCUCAUGGGGAGAGGGCAGGCGCUGACCUCCCGGGCCCUCCAGCAUUCUCUGGGUCCUGGCCCCGAGAUUCUGGUUUUCCACACAGGGCACCUACUGUCUCACCCUUCCCUGACUCUGCCCGUGCACAAGGUGACCCCGGCUGCAAGCGUGCCAGGAGCUUUUCUCCACCUCUGCCUCAACAUCUGCCGCCUCUCCUCCUCUGGAGAGGGAGGCAGCUGAAGGACACCAGCCCCACGCCUUGCUGGAGCAGCUGAGAUCGCUGGGAGGAGACCUAGGACCCUACGAGAGGAGGGAUCUGGAGGCCAGGACAGGAGCAGGACAACACAAACAGAGGCCUCAGAAGAAGACUCAGAGUGGGACAGGGGUUCCUUAAGUGACGGGGGCUGGAAGUGCACAGAGAAGCCUGGUGCAGCAGGGAAUUUUCUCUCCCUGGGGUGCUGCCAAGGCAAAGGUGUCUGUUGCUUGCCAGCUUUUCCAGCCAUGACUGCAGACAAAGUCCACCUAGAGUCAUAAAUGGGCAAUCAGCCCCGAACAACGUCCAGCCCCGGUUUCUGCACGGCGAGGCGUUUUUGUCCGUGGCAGACCUGCUUACCCGGGUGUCUUUGGUGUGGGGCUAGAUGCAGCAUUUCCCCAGUGGGAAUGGCCUGGGGUCUUAUUUAAAGUGGAGGGUCCUAGGCCUGGCCCCACGUAUGGAGUCAGGAUCCCUAGGGGUAGGACCUUGGAAUCCGCAUUUUUUUUGAGACAGGGUCUCACUCUGUCACCCAGGCAGUGGCACGAUCUCAGCUCUCUGAAACCUCCACCUCCUGGUUCAAGCGAUUCUCCUGCCUCGGCCUCCUGAGUAGCUGGUAUUACAGGCACGCACCACCAUGCCUGGCUAAUUUUCUAUGUUUUUAGUAGAGAUGGGGUUUCAUCAUGUUGGCCAGGCUGGUCUCCAACUCCUGACCUCAAGCCAUACACUGGCCUCGGCCUCCCUAAGUGCUGGGAUUACAGGUACGAGCCACCGUGCCUGGCCAGGAAUCUGCAUUUUUGCUAGUAACCCUGGUCAUCUCAGUGCACACCAAAGUUUGAAACCACUGUUGGGGUGUGGAGUUCUUGCUUCCAGACUUCCAGGGCCUAUGGAUUGAACAACAGCAGCCACAGUAGUAAUUAGAAUUUUCAGUCUGAACCACAAGCCUGCCAUGCAACAAGGGUUUCCUCCCGUUUUACAGAUGAGGGACCUGAGGCUUCAUAAGGCUGUUAUUGACCUGAGGUCGCACAGCUGAUGGCUCCUGGGUUCUUAGCGUUAAGUUUUGCAGCCUUAUUUCUGUUGUAUAUUUGUUUCUCAUCUUUCUGUGUUUAUUGCACUGCAAUUGUGAUAUCCUCUAAAAGCCAAGGAUGAACUCACUGCUGACCUUGGUUUUAUUCGUUUGUUUAUUUUCACCUUUUCUUGUGAAAUGUGCAAACAUACUCAAAAGUCAAGAGAAUCAUAUGGUGAUUUCUCAUAGUCCCCUUUGGCCAGCUUCAGCAAAGAUGACAUUUUGCCACUCUUAUUCCAUCCAUUUCUGUCACGCCACCCCUGACAUACACACAUGUUCUUUCUGGAGUAUUUUCAAGCAAAUACAGGAUUUUUAAAAACAUGUAAA
rnacentral:lncRNA from 1 species